AUUGAACGCUGGCGGCAGGCCUAACACAUGCAAGUCGAGCGGCAGCGGGAAAGUAGCUUGCUACUUUUGCCGGCGAGCGGCGGACGGGUGAGUAAUGCCUGGGAAAUUGCCCAGUCGAGGGGGAUAACAGUUGGAAACGACUGCUAAUACCGCAUACGCCCUACGGGGGAAAGCAGGGGACCUUCGGGCCUUGCGCGAUUGGAUAUGCCCAGGUGGGAUUAGCUAGUUGGUGGGGUAAUGGCUCACCAAGGCGACGAUCCCUAGCUGGUCUGAGAGGAUGAUCAGCCACACUGGAACUGAGAAACGGUCCAGACCCCUACGGGAGGCAGCAGUGGGGAAUAUUGCACAAUGGGGGAAACCCUGAUGCAGCCAUGCCGCGUGUGUGAAGAAGGCCUUCGGGUUGUAAAGCACUUUCAGCGAGGGGGAAAGGUUGAUGCCUAAUACGUAUCAACUGUGACGUUACUCGCAGAAGAAGCACCGGCUAACUCCGUGCCAGCCGCCGCCGUAAGAC
rnacentral:rRNA from 1 species